rnacentral:lncRNA from 1 species
ACACAACCCCCACCAAAAACCGUGAGUGGUCUCAGGUGUUAAGGAAGACCUGAUUUAAUUUGUUUUACUUGAAGUCAUGUUGCGCCUUUUUAUAAGUUUACUAUAUGGUUUUCUCAUUGUUGAAGUCCGUUCGGGGAACUAAAGCUGUUUGCAACCUUCUCAAUUUGAUUUCUGAUAGUUGUCUCAUUGGUAAGCCUAUCAUAUAUCUCUACACCCUCUACAUAUUUUUUACUUGACAUGAAUC